rnacentral:lncRNA from 1 species
ACGUGUCCCACCAAAAUUGUGACACAACACUUGUAAGUUCUGCUAUCGUCUGUUGUGGAAUUUUAAAACAAGACAUACGAAAAACUGGAGCUGAUUUCUUUUUUUUUUUUUUCUUUCUUUUUCCGUCUGAAAUCUAUACUAUUAAAAGAGAAGGAGUUUAAAUAAAUCUACCUAUGAAAGUCAUUUUGAACCUUUUCCUUUUUUCAUUUUUUGGUCUAACCAUAUCUAUUAUAACAGCAUCUACGAUCUUUGUAACCCAAAUAAUUCGAAAAGAAUAUUCUAAGUUGACAUCUACUUUAAAUUUCAUUUUAAUAAAAUAGACUAUUAUCUAACCAGAAAUCGCCAUCUCAUAUCCUAUAUAACCCACCUCUCACCAAACUCAAGAGCAUCACAUAUAUCACCAAUAUCAAAAACAUAAAACCCGAGGCUCAGACCCAAGGAAACCAAAAAAUGCUAAAGUGGUUCAUAUCCUGUUUUUUUAAGUCAUUGCAAUCCUCAUCUCCCCCUCA